ACAAAUUAAAAAAACGAUUUUGAUGCAAAAUGUCACGUCUCUAAUAACUAAUGGAAUCUGUAUGGCUAAAGUCCUUUGCCUUUCCCAUUAGGGAUAAAUUGAAAAUAAAAAAAAAUAAGCAAUGGAAAAUGUACGAUUUAUUUACGAAUUUCUAUACAUUAUACAGGUUUAAAUAAUCUUUAUUAAUAUUUAGACGGAACUCCGGCAGAAAAAAUAACUUGGAGGUGUUCCAUUAAAGGUUGGGAAUGACACAGGGAGUAUUUCUCCAUCCCCUCUUCCAUCUCCCAUCAAAAAAACCUCAAAAAUCGACGGGUCAUAUUGGAAAGUUUAACCAAUUACUCCAAAUCUCACGGAGGUUUUCGAAUCAAGGUCCCCCGAGACUCCUACACACUCAGUUUAAUCACAAUCAAGGUAUUGAAUAUAAGAUCCAACCCAUAA